ensembl:lncRNA
GGGGGAGGGGUAGAAGUGUGUGUUUUAUUGGUGUGUCUGUGUGUGAGUGUGUGUGUGUGUGUGGGGGGCGGCGGUAGGGAGUAGGGAUGGCAGGAGUACGAAGUAGAGGGGGAAAUGGGCUAUGGGUGUGGGCAGUCUGCACUUUUUUUUACAACCAGAACUCCAAGUAGAUGAGUAGCCUACAGUCUGAGAGCCUCUGUUCUGUUGAGUGUUGUCAGGUCCAGGGAAAAGCAGCGUCUGUUUCACCUUCUACACCGAAGCUCACUGCUAACCUUUAACUUGGCUUGUUGUGAUUGUUUUUGGAUGAAAGGGUUUAUAUAGUUGUGUCAAUGUUGAUCUGUUUUUUAGCGGUCUAAUGAGUUUUUAUGAAUUCAACUCAAAUAAAUGCAAAAGGUGUACAGCGAUGAGCAAGAUUUGGUCUUGUCUUGGGCGGUUGAGGUGGAUUUCUGCUGGAUGACUUAUUAGACACAACAGAUGCCUCUUUUCGAAGAGAAAGACUCACAAGAUCUACACCAGACCAUUCCAACAUCGAUUCCAUAUGCUUCCCAUGCAGUAUCAAAUGGACCUUUUUACAUGUAGUCGUGGUAGCAAUUAUAAAUAUAAAACAUAUCUUAUCAUUGGUAUUAUUUGGGUUAUUCAAACAUCCUAUCAUAAUUAAAACAUACAUUUAAUCAUGAGGGGAUAUUAGAAUUCUAAAUUUUUUCUGUAUUAUUGUGAAUGUUUGCGGGUAUUUCUGUCAUUAUGUGUUUUCGGUUGGUCCUCAUUUUAUUUUUUUUCGCUGGGUAACAUUAGCUGAAACACACGAGUCAAACUAGUCAGGCUAACCUCAGCAAUCUCUCACUGCCACAUAGAACUGACCGGAAACCUGAUCCUUAAAAUUAGCUUUUUCUCUUGUUUUUCUUUACUUGUAUUUUCAUUGUUUAACUUUUAAAAUACAACCCAACCACAGCUUCUGGGUGUAAAACAUGAUGACAAUAAAGAGGAUGCCAACACCCUUUUAUGUGUAUCUGUAUGUCUAUACAGAUAUAUGUAUCACAGGUGUUUCAGUACUGAACAAGGAAUGACUUGAUGAGCUCCACCAACAAUUAAUCAUCUACAUCUCCUUGGACCCAUUUAUAACCAUCCCCCACUCCCUUUUUUAUCCUGGUUGCCUCCAUAAAUGUUUCGAUUCCUACUAAAGCAUAGAGAGAGAGAGCUGGCUUGUGUCUUUGGCCUGUCCAGACAGAUCUACCCUAAUCUUGAAGGCUAAAUUGGCUUUAGCUGCAAAAGAGCUUAUUUCCACGUCACACUAAUGGUUAGUCCAGAAAAUCAGGUCACCUGGAAGACGAGCCCCUAACAACCUUCCACCGGUCUUCUGCUGUGGCUUUCGCUGUACGGAAAUCGCUGCGAGGGAAGGGUUUUACAAAUGCUCUUAUUUUGAAAUGCAUCCCAUUAUCAGGGACCCUUAUUUGCGUGUUCCCUAACCUCCCAUCGGGUAUCUGCUCCGGCUCUCUCUCCUGCUGAGAAAGGGUUUCAUCAAUACAAUAACAAUUUGUAUUUAUACUUUAUUUAUAAAUUUGAAAUGCAUCAUGUUCUCGUGGACUCUGAUUUAUU